GAUGAAGAACGUAGCGAAAUGCGAUAAGUAGUGUGAAUUGCAGAAUUCAGUGAAUCAUCGAAUCUUUGAACGCACAUUGCGCCCCUUGGUAUUCCAUGGGGCAUGCCUGUUCGAGCGUCAUUUGUACCUUCAAGCUUUGCUUGGUGUUGGGUGUUUGUCUCGCCUUUGCGUGUAGACUCGCCUUAAAAUAAUUGGCAGCCGGCGUAUUGAUUUCGGAGCGCAGUACAUCUCGCGCUUUGCACUCAUAACGACAGCGUCCAAAAGUACAUUUUACACUCUUGACCUCGGAUCAGGUAGGGAUACCCGCUGAUCUUAAGCAUAUCAAUAAGCGGAGGA
rnacentral:misc_RNA from 1 species